rnacentral:pre_miRNA from 1 species
GAGACACCCUUCUGGGGAAAGACUUGCUUCAGUGGGGCUUUGGUGCUCACUGAUUCUGCCCUCUUAGUUUGUCCCU